AAAGGGUAUCACUUGUAAAUAGUGUUUAAAAGACUUAUCUGAGUGUUAUUAGGAAAGAAUGGUAUAGCUUGAAUUUAGACACGUAUGAAGUUAUGAACCGUGGUGAACAUUAUGUUUAUUACAGAAAAAUACUUUAAAUGGUUUAACAAGGUAGGAAAACACAGGGCUGGUAGUUAACCAUAUAAUGUAACCGCAAACUCAUAUGAAGGAAUAAAUAAUAGUAGGACUGUGAUUAGAACUUAUGCAAGCUUAGCUUAAAAGAAUAGAAAUAACCG